rnacentral:tRNA from 1 species
GGAGAGGUGGCCGAGUGGUUGAAGGCACCGGUCUUGAAAACCGGCAUACCGAAAGGUAUCGGGGGUUCGAAUCCCCCCCUCUCCG